CUGCUUUAAGGAAAAACCGAAUAAAGAUUUCAUGUUU
rfam:Mus musculus chromosome 1 genomic contig, GRC reference assembly alternate locus group 129S6/SvEvTac.